rnacentral:tRNA from 1 species
NGAGCGGUUGAAUGCGGCGGUCUUGAAAACCGUUAUCCCGUGAGAACGGGAUCGUGGGUUCGAAUCCCACUCUCUCCU